UCUGUGUUUGUGUGUUGGCACCACCAAUGCUUGGACCCUCCCUGGGAGCCCCUAAAACAUUUCAUAGACCUCCAAGGAAAAAUCAGAAGCCCGUGUUGUUCUUCACAGCUGAUAUUCAUUGCAGUAAAGGGUUAACUCCGGAAUGAAACCAAACCAACUGAGAUGAUCAAAUUAAUAUGCAUCUGAAUAUCAAAAUAUAAGUCUUUACGUUGUUGCGGUAAUUCCAGGUAACAUUGGGUUGUCUAUUUCUACAAGCUUUAUUUAUCUGCAUUGAUUCUAUGUUCCAUAUGCAUGCUUCUUGGAGAAGGUGUGGCAUGAGCCAAUCAUCCUUUCAUUGGUGUUUUUAAAUUUGUAAUGCCGCCCAGAGUGUGGCACGAGCCAAUCAUCCUUUCAUUGGUGUGACUGUUUUUAAAUUUGUAAUGCCGCCCAGAGUAGGUAGACCUUUGGUCUAGGUGGCUGGGGUAGAAAUCUAAUAAAAUAAAUAAAUGAAUGAAUUUGUAGAUCUAUUCAAUUGUAAGUAAAGAAACCUUUUAUUCCGUCUCCUAUUAUUGUCUCAGAGUGAGUUACUGGGACUGUGAGUGCUAGUUGAUGAGAAAAAGGAUGAACGAAAUGGGAGGGGAGGACUUGAAGCAGUACGGUUCUGUGAAUCCCUGCCCUUCCAUUGCAUAGCCAGAGGAAUUUAGCCAACAUUCAAAACUCUGCAACAAAAAAUACUGGGAAGGAUGCCACGGUGUGGACGAUCCCCUCAGAGGGCAUGACCAAAACGUGCAGGAAAAUGUAGAGUAGCAGAGGGACUCAGCUUUGGGGCCUGAGGUUCCCCUCCCCUCCCUAGCCAGGCUAGUAUGCAAGACAUUUGGAUAAAUAUCCAACAUAAAUAAAAUAAAGCCUUUAGUGAACAGAUGCCACAAGACUCUGUCUGUCUGUCUGUGUGUGUGUGUGUGUGUGUGUGGUUCACUACCUUUGGGGGGGGUCUCCUAAGCAUCGCUAAUGAUUAAGCAACCUGAGCAGUGCAUUGGCAGCCAGUUCCCCCUGAAACAACUGGGAGAGGCAGAGUCCAGGGACGCCGUUUCCUCCCACCCCAGCCCUGCUGCCCUCCGGGGCCUGAUUCUGGGGCCAGGGGAGCCUGCGAAGCAUGAAGCGCUCCUGGCUGCUCUUGGGAGCUGUGGCCCUGGCUCUCGAGCCGGCUGCCUUGGCCGCCUCUUUGGGAAGGAAGGACCAGGCCCGGAGGCGGCCGCCGCUCCGAGGGAGCCAGCCCUGCGUCGGGUGCUACACCCUUCUGUCCGCGCCCCUCUUCCCAUUGGAAAGAUCCCCUGCCUUCGAAAACGCCACCUUUUCGCUUCUUGUGGAGCCCAGCCCAUGGGUAGGUUGCAGGAAGGAGGAGGGGAGGCUGGGAAGGGGGAGGCAUUUGGGGGGGAGGGCCUCUCUAGAGGCUCACUUGUAAGAGGGCCGUAGGCUGCGAUCCCAUGGAGCGAUCCCUCUCCGCUUGGACUGCUGGUGGCUUGGUUCCGAGUGAACUGUUUCUUGGUGGAUCACAGAGGGGGCUCUCCAGCCUGAUUCUGAGCUGGUCCCUUUUGGUCUCACUGUAAGGGGGUGGGUGGGCUGAAGCAAUUCCCCAAUGGACGAUUUAAGGGUCGAUUUAAAGGGGGGGGUCGCUCCCAGCAAAGGGACCCUUUCCAAUGUGAUAAGUCGCACAACUUUCUUGCUGCACAGAACUUCUCAAGAUGCCCGUUUCUGGGGAUGGCAGAUGUGACUGAAGCUCCAGCCACCCCCCCCCCCGUGUAAAAAGUUUUAGGAAACAGAGGUUGCAGGAGGUGUUGACCUCCCUCGACCUUCCCGACAUCAGCUGAUAAAGUGGGAAGACUGUGACAAACCCAGACCUACUGGGAUAUGCCACAGUUUCACUAAGCUGCCACCAACCAUUCCCUAUAAGAAGUCACACAGACCAGGGAUGGAUUUUUAACAAAUAAAAGAACAAGGUUUAUUAAAUAACA
rnacentral:lncRNA from 1 species